AUGGGAUGGAGCUGGAUCAUCCUCUUCCUGGUGACAACAGCUACAGGUGUCCACUCCAAGGUCCAGCUGCAGCAGUCUGUGGCUGAGCUGUUAAAGCCUGGGGCUUCAGUGAAGCUGUCCUGCAAGGCUUCAGGCUACACCUUCACUGACUAUGCUAUGUACUGGGUGAAGCAGAAGCCUGGACAGGGCCUGGAGUGGAUUGGAUAUUUUAAUCCUUAUACUGGAAAUACUGGCUAUGCACAGAAUUUCAAGGGCAAGGCCACACUGACUGCAGACACAUCCUCCAGCACAGCCUACAUGGAACUCAGCAGCUGA